rnacentral:rRNA from 1 species
AGUAAUGCUUGGGAAUCUGGCUUAUGGAGGGGGAUAACUACGGGAAACUGUAGCUAAUACCGCGUAGAAUCGGAAGAUGAAAGUGCGGGACCGCAAGGCCGCAUGCCAUGAGAUGAGCCCAAGUGGGAUUAGGUAGUUGGUGGGUAAAGGCCUACCAAGCCUGCGAUCUCUAGCUGGUCUGAGAGGAUGGCCAGCCACACUGGAACUGAGACACGGUCCAG